rnacentral:rRNA from 1 species
UACGAAGGGGGCUAGCGUUGCUCGGAAUCACUGGGCGUAAAGGGUGCGUAGGCGGGUCUUUAAGUCAGGGGUGAAAUCCUGGAGCUCAACUCCAGAACUGCCUUUGAUACUGAGGAUCUUGAGUCCGGGAGAGGUGAGUGGAACUGCGAGUGUAGAGGUGAAAUUCGUAGAUAUUUGCAAGAACACCAGUGGCGAAGGCGGCUCACUGGCCCGGUACUGACGCUGAGGUGCGAAAGCGUGGGGAGCAAACAGG